AUUGAACGCUGGCGGCAUGCUUUACACAUGCAAGUCGAACGGUAACAGGCCGCAAGGUGCUGAUGAGUGGCGAACGGGUGAGUAAUGCAUCGGAACGUGCCCAGACGUGGGGGAUAACUGCUCGAAAGAGCAGCUAAUACCGCAUACGAUCUAGGGAUGAAAGCGGGGGACCGUUAGGCCUAGCGCGAUUGGAGCGGCCGAGGUCAGAUUAGGUAGUUGGGGGGGUAAAGGCUCACCAAGCCAACGAUCUGUAGCUGGUCUGAGAGGACGACCGGCGACACUGGGAGUGAGACGGGGCGCAGACACCUCCGCGAGGAAGCGGUGGGGAAUUUUAGACAAUGGGGGCACGGCUGAUCCAGCAAAGCCGCGGGAAGGAAGAAGGCCUUGGGGUUGUAAAGUGAUGUUGUCCGGAACGAAACAGUCUGGGUUAAUACCCUGGGCUAAUGACGGUACCGUAAGAAUAAGCACCGGCUAACUACGUGCCAGCCGCCGCAGUAAAAC
rnacentral:rRNA from 1 species